GCUCCUGUGGCGGAGCUGGUAGACGCAGUAGACUCAAAAUCUGCCGAUAGCAAUAUCGUGCCGGUUCGAAUCCGGCCAGGAGCA
rnacentral:tRNA from 1 species